GUCUACAGCCAUACCACCCUGAAUGCACCCAAUCUCAUCUGAUCUCGGAAGGCUAAGCAGGGUUGGGUCUGGUUACCACUUGGAUAGGAGACUGCCUGUGAAUACCAGGUGCUGUAGGCU
rnacentral:rRNA from 1 species